CUGAGAAAGAAAUCGACUAGUGAUCGAUGUAGAUAUCUUUUUCUUUCUUUCUUUUAAUUAGAUAAUAGUCCAACUUAUUUUUUGUAAUCGAAUUUUGGGUCUAAUUUUGUAAUCCUUUGCUAAUGAAUGAAAAGAAUAGUUUUCCAAAUGUUGAAAAUUUUGUGUUGAACUCUUUGCAUGUUACUUUUUAUUGUAGAUGACCGCUGUCAAUGCAGUCAAAUGU
rnacentral:lncRNA from 1 species